CAGAGACAAGGUAUGUUGUAUGUUUAAGGAGGCUCAGGAGGGUGUGUAAGGUUGCCAUGGUUUUCCUGCGGCCGCUGAGACGUGGAGGGCAACAGUGUGUGGUCUUUUCCUGGAUGUUCUAGCCAUCCGCAACUACUGCAGACAUUGUGGCCAGUCAGAUGCCCUUACUCUCAUCGCUACAGCCUGCAUUAUCCUUGGCCGCUCGUGUUCCGUGGCCCCAAAGUAUCCUGGCGUCAGAGACAAGUUCUGUCGGAACCCAGUAAGGAAAGAGGCCGAUGGUUGGUUCAUUGUGGAAUUUCCUUGGGGGAUCUGGGAGACCCAGGGAGAUCCCAGAGGGCAUGGGAAGCUGGUCUGGAGCCUGUCGUUCCCCAAGUAGAUGCAGCCCUUCCAGUGCCGCUCUGUGGGGUCAGUGAGGAAUGCUGAGCUUUUUGUGCCCGUGUUCACAUACUUUUUUUUGUUUUGAGACAGGGUCUCACUCUGUCGCCCAGGCUGGAGUACAGUGGUGCACUCUCAGCUCACUGCAGUCUCUGCCUCCCAGGUUCAAGCAAUUCUCCUGCCCCAGCCUGCCGAGUAGUUGGGAUUACAGGCAUGCACUACCACACCUGACUGAUUUUUGUAUUUUAGUAGAGACUGGGUUUCACCAUAUUUGCCAGGCUGGUCUUCAACUCCUGGCCUCAAGCGAUCCGCCCACCUCGACCUCCCAAAGUGCUGGGAUUACAUGCAUGAGCCACCAUGCCCGGCCCACAGAUACGUUUUUCAGGGCUAAUUGAAAUAGACUUAAUGUUAGAAAUGAGUGGAAAUGCUUAUAACUUCAUCGCAUUAGAUUUGCUUUGAUGUUGGGGGAGUGUUGGAGUUACACUGUUAGACCGUGAAUCAUAGUAACCCCAUGUUUAGAUCCUAUCUAUGGUGGUGAGAUGUGUGACUGGGUGAAUUGAUAGCGCUUCCUUAGCAUGAAGUCAUUGACUGUGAAGGUGAUGAUGGUGUUGACUGCAGGGACUGUGAAAGGAUUAAUAAAAAUCCCAGAGCACACUGAGCAUUGAAUACUUUAAAUUUAACAACUGUUACUGGUGGGAAGUGUUAUUGUAUUGAUCCAGAAAUCAAGGCUCAGAGAAAUGAAAUGCUGUCUUUGAGGUAAGAGCUGUCAAGUGUCAGUUUCAAGUGUUUGGAGCUAGGAACUUCUAGUCACUGUGUUUACACAGGAUGUGAAGCCUUCAACAUGGGGCAGGCACCUAGCUGGACCAGUGAGACUCAGGUACUGCCGUUGUAACCAUUAUUGCUAUUAUUACCAUUUCCCCAUUUCCCUGUCGUUUUAGAGCCCUUAGCUUCUGUAUUUCACAGUCCACAAGUUGUUUCCGUUGUCCUGUGUCAUUCUCUAACGGCCGUUAAAUAGGAGGCUUCUCUCCUUUACUCUGGUAUUAUGUUAAAAG
rnacentral:lncRNA from 10 species